AGCUCAUAGCGUAUAUUAAGUUGUUGCAGUUAAAAAGCUCGUAGUUGAAUUUCGGGAUCAAAUUGUCGGUCGUGCCUCGGUACGUACUGGCGUUAUUGGUUCCUCCCUUCUGAAGAACCGCGAUGUCAUUAAUUUGGUGUCGCGGGGAAUCAGGACUGUUACUUUGAAAAAAUUAGAGUGGUAUAAGCAGGCA
rnacentral:rRNA from 2 species